rnacentral:lncRNA from 1 species
GCUUGACAGAGAUGAUAAUAUUUGGGUUGAGCCUUAAAGAAAGAAAGGAAGUUUACCAGUUUCAGCAGCAUGAACAAUGUGUUCAGAAGCACAAUGGGAGUGGAGAUGGACAUUAGGACAAUGGUGCUGGAUCUAAGCAUAGCUUAUCGGUGAAGCUCAUUUGAAUACUUUUCCUAUAACCGUGUCAUGACUAAUUGCUGGCUUUUGGACCUCAGUCUUUCCUUGUCGGGUUUCAUUGUGGGGGCCAUCUUGCUUUGUGGGAUUGUUGAGGACCCAAGACUUCUCUGCCUCCUCAAGGUAUCACCUGUUGACCCUGAGAUUCACAUUGCUGCAGACAUUGAGCCUGAAGACUCACAGGAGGUGGGGAGGAGGCGGAGAAGCAGGAGAAUGAAGAAGAAUGAGAGACUGCGACUUGUGGAUGAAGGCAACCCUUUCACUCCUCCUCCACUUUCAUGCUGCAGAGCCUGGAGGGGAGACAAGCCCACAGGCUGGCUGGCUGUAAGUUGAGAGCACAGCUGUCGUCAUGCACGGCUGCCCUGAGUUCCAACUCUGCUGCUUACCACGUGCAUAACCAUCAAAGGUUACCCAACACUUUUAAUUCCUGUUUCCUCUUAAUAAUUGAAUCUAACUCAAAGCUUUGUUUUAUGCGGGCACAUUUGUAAAAUACUCAGCACGGGGCCUGGCCCACAGUAGGUACUCCUAACAAGUGGGCUAUGACUUGUGUAGCCCAAGGCUUAAAAGGAAGUAAACC